GCCCUACAGAAAUUGAUGUUCAUGUAAAUGAUCCUCCUAAUCUAUGCUAAACAUGAAAAACUACACUACUCAGCCACAGCCUGCCUUUGUAAAGCUUGGAUGUGCUGGCACAAAGUGCCCAGGGGAGAGUUCAGCAGGUUCCCACAAACCUCAGCUGCAAGGAGACUUGGCCUGCUGAGACCUCAGCAUAGGACGUGUGACAGCAGCCUGAUGCUCACUGUGUGAUUCACAGAAUCAUUUGAGUUGGAAGGGACCAUUAAAGCCAUCUGGUCCAACUCCACUGCAAUGAACAAGGACACCUACAGCUCCAUCAGCCAAGAGAUAUCUGCCUAGACACACCAGGAUGGAAUCUGGGGAAUGUGAAGUGGAAGCUAAGCAGUGCCGGCAGCACCUGGGAGCAGCCAGCCUCCAUACCUGCUUUGGGAAGACACAGAAGAGAAGUCUCAAGCUCAAGGGGGACCGGUUAAUAUGAGUUUCUGAAAGGACCUACCACCAUCCAUGCAGUAGAGGGAUUAAAUUACUGAAGACCAGAAGACAAAGAGAGAAAAACAUUUGGGGUCUGUGGCUUACUGCCAUUAAGACAUAUGUAAGUACAUGAGGCAGUUGGGUACAACCCCUCUCUGCAAAUAUUCAGUCUCCAUAUGAGGUUUAAGCAUCUGACUUCAGUUGCUGCCAGUAAAAUAUAUUAGACUGAAAAUGUUUCAGCAUGAAAGGCAGCCACUGAAGCCAACAUCAGGGCUUCUUUUUCCCUCAAAUAUGAGGGCAAAGCCUAAUAGUGAAAGUCAGCAAAUGAGGAAAACCAAGUCAUUCUUUGUUAGAAUGAAACUUGUUGAGAGCCAGAGCACAACAGCAGCACGGAGAAGUUCUGUUGGAGCCUGCAGUGAUUUGCAUGAGAUCAUCACCCCUCUGCUAGCAUACGGCACUUUCAGAAGGGUUGCUGAUUCCUGCUGAAUUGGGGCUGGUUUUCUCUUUUUUCCUGUCCUGUUGACACACUGCUUACAAGAGUUCACCAAGGUCAGGUUUGCCUUCUUCUGUGCUGUUAAAAAAUGGAAAACCAGUGGAGAUGUCAAAGGGGUCAGACUAAAGAAGCUGGCGUGAUUUCUGCUACAGAGCUGCUGUAUAGUCUGGGAAGUCUCUGCCAGAUUCAUUUGGUUUCAGCCGGGGGUUUCAAACAGACAGGUGAUGUCAAGUUUCUGCAGAGUUUUGUCUGGCUGUGGUUAACUAUUACUUUAAUUAAAUAAAUUCAGAUUUGGUUCAACAAUUUUUUUUCCCAGAGAGGAUGGAGCAUCAGACAGAUCCUGAAUCUGCAGAUAUUAUUCCUACCUCAUAGUCAGAAAACGCCUACCUUUGUGAACACUGUUCUGUGGAAAGGAAGAAGUGUACUGUUAAGAAUAAGUCUCCCCUAGCUUACAACAGAGGUCCUUCUCAUGAAGAUGUCAAGACAACUUGGCUAACACUUGGGCUCCUCCUGCGGACCCAAAGAAACCAAACAGCACAUGGAAUAGUUAGAAGGUGGAAGAUUCCAUGUCAAAUACAUUCAGGAUUUUCUGUUAGCAGAAAAGCCGAAUAAACCUUGCAUGCAAUCACAUAGCAACAGCAAAGCAAGGGAGAAAGUCUAAAGCAAGCCCCACAGGCUCCUCUGCCUGCCCUCCCAGAGGAACGAGAGCUGAGCUGGCAUUUCUUGGUGAAGUUCCCACUGCCAAGCACUGUGCAUGCAGUGACGCUAAGGGACACAUUCUGUUCAACUGAAUACAAGAAAGAUAACCAUCUGUGCUCAUUUUACUCAUUUCAGUUCUGAAUCUGUGCCCAUUAACCAUAUAAUGGUUGGGGGAAAAACAGCUGGUGAGAGAAUCUGGCAAAGUAUCAAAGGGAAUUCACUGAAAAGCUGUAAUUCCAAAUAAAAAUGGCUGAAAAAGUUCAAGGAGCCUCCUCUAUAUGAUCUUGUAGCCACUAAAUAAAGAAGGAUCUAGACAAAAUAGGAUCCUGUUAGUGAACUCUGAUAAAUCUCUGUAGUCACUGAAAGGCAGGGAUGAACUCCUUGAAAUGAUAAGAAGGAUGGAAAAGGAAUCUUUCAUGACAGUUUGUUUUUUCUUGAUGUUCAGUGGCAUGUUACUGCCUAAGCCAGCCCAGCUGGAAACAGAGGCACAUAGAAAACAAGUGCCACCUGACAGCUACAUGAGAGUGAGUCUUACCCCACCGAUUCUCAAAAUAAGCUUAACUGUAUUUUAUGACAGUAACUGAUCAAAUCCAAGACACCACGUCGUCAGUCCCAAAGAUUGAAAUGUUUUAUCCACAUCUAGGAAGUGACAACCGUGCAAACUCCCAUGCUGAACUGAGAAAACUUUCAUUUCAUGUGCUGAAAGGCACGAUUGCCAAACCAGGGAACCUGAAACUAGAAGUGCACAGGAGGAUGAUUCAGCAGGGCAGCCCAGGGAUGCUGGGGUCAAGCAGCCAGGAAAAAGAGACCAUAGGCCAUGGGUAUCUGAAGCUGCAUCUGAACAUGUUUACUUGCAGUGAAGUGUUACCCAUACUGGUUACAAAAGAGGAACCUUGAGGAAAGCUGUGAUACUGCCUAAUGACUCAAUACUCACUCACAAGAAAGGCACUUCUCUAAACGGUGUGUUAUCACCAGAUAGUCUUUCAGACUUUCUUCUUUAGUGGACGCAGUGACUUGUAGUCACAUGCUCAUGCCAUUGAUCAUUCAGUAUUUCACAAAUUCUCUGGGAAAGUGCUCGGACUUGGCCAGAUAAAUAGAGCUGUGACUGUCACUGAGGCUCCCUUCUCUGUCUGGCACAGACUGAAGAUAGGGGGAGAUGUUUCCACAGCCAGCACCAGAGCUGCUGCUAAGGAUGAAAGGUGCUCACCUGUGAGUUUGAACUUGAAGGCUACUGCUAACGACAAGAAUGGCCAGAGUACAUAAGUCCGUGAAUUAAAACAAGUAAAGACAUUCACAAGGUUAGGGUGCAGAAGUGGAAGGGAGUGCUGGGAUUACCACUGAACUAUUGCUUUGAGAAAUACAAGGGGGAAAAGAAAGAGGACAGGACAGUUUUAGAGAGAAAGAGCACAAAGCAACUUUUGGACCCUUUCGGGUCCCUUCGUUCUGUCUGGCAUGAAUCAGAGUACCUUGCAGCAGCUCUGAGAUGUGCUCUGACCCCCACAGCCAACGAUGGGCCCAACCACAGAGCGUUUCAGCGUGACCCAUUGGCAGUGCUCCCCAAAGGAGCCUACAGAGCAAGUUGUUUGUGCCUCUCCUGCCCCCUUUCUACAGACUGAGAGAGCUGUCAGGACAUCAGAUUAACCACAAGUAGGGAUCAAGUCGUGCUCCAGGAGUGACUAAGAGGUUUGUUAAAUAAACUGCCUGCUCAGGCUGGUAAAGGUGACUGGGAGGGCUGAUGUGUUCCCUUUAAAAGGAACAUGAGUCUUACCGAACAGAUCAUCACGAAGCAUAGAAUCAUUAAGGUUGGAAAAGACCUCUAAGGUCAUCAGUCCGACCAAAUGUUCACCUGCCACCAAUACUGCCCUCAUUUCAGGCACAUCCAAGACCAUCACAGACCUCAAGCAAAUACUGCAAAAGCCACGAUGAAGCUGCUGAUGUGAAUGAGCUACUCUGCCAAAUCCUGCAGCCCCUUGUCUUGACUAUAACUCUUGCAGUCAACACAGGCACCCAGAAUUAGGAUUCAAAACUGCACUGAAAGUAAAGGGCACAAAUUAGUUGUGCAAACAGCCUUUCUCCUCACUGUUAAAAUGCGAGGCUGCAAGGGAGGGCAGUCAGUUCGAAUGCAUGACCAGGAGCUGCUGUAAAAUUCCUUGCAGAAACAAGAGACCUAUUAUGUUUAUCACCAAUUUGCUAAGUAAGGUUAAUACUCUGGCAUUGGCCCUGCCUCACAUGCCCUUAGUAGCACUACCAAGCUUUGUCCCACUAAGAUUUUACAGUAGAAGAGAUAACACACAUUCGAUAACCCAUUAUAAACACGCACUUUUAUUCUCCCCCCUUCACCCUCAUGCCUUUGCAGCAGGGAAGAUAAUGCUCUCACCAGUGGACCUAUUUCCAGCACCUGUAACCAGCUUAUGGCUAAGGAAACAGAGACCCAUCAGCCAUUGUGGUCAGAUGAAUAGUCUGUGUGGAUAUCAAUAUCAUAAUAAAUCAUUCCACUGCUGAAAGUCAUCUUACCCUCAGAAGGAUCUGAAUGGCAACUAUUUCCAAAUCCUUACAUACAUCCAUUUACAGUAGCUGAACUGUGGGAGGAGACUGAACUAUUUUUCAGUUCGCAUGAUAGUCAGCUGUUCCUCAUUUAGGAAUGAAUCCAUUUGCCUUUGUAUUAGGCCCAAAUAAUAGCUCCUGAAAUUGAGAUGUAAUCACCAACUAAAACUAGGAUUAAGCUAACGCCACCGAACUCCUUUGUUCCUCAAAACACAUUCAAACCCCCUGACCAGAUUCUGAUCUUGAUGUGAAUCUCAACUCACUGAGUUAAAUCCAAAAGCCACACCAUUUAAGUGGUGUAUCUCAGUGGAACCGAAGUUCAGAAUCAGUCCUUAAUACUGGUGCACAUGGUACUGUGCAGAACGAGCCCCACACUAUUUAUAGCUCACACUAUAUAUACACACUGCAGCUUCCAAAAGCAUAUUUCAUCUUUUGGGAGGACAAUGCUUUCUGAACUGUAAGAAAAGGCUGAGUUUUGUCAAAAAAUCUGCUCAAAUCCUUAACCUGGAAGAGCGGCCCCACGCUGCCAAUCAGAUAAUAAGCCGAAUUCUUACAUCACACUUUGUUUGUAGCUCACUGUGUAGUUAAUGGUUGCAGCUUAUCUAACAGGAGAAAUGUGAAACCAGAGUUUUAGAACAAUGGGAACAUGCCUGUCACCAGCAGGCUGCCAAUGAAUCAUGUCCCUGCAGUCAGGCUCUCCCAGAAGGUCAUUUAUAACAGAAAUACAUCUCUGCCUGUAGCUGCUAAAAUGCUGAAAAGUGUCUUUCAGUUCUACAUGAGCAAACCAAUUACCAGAACAAUUUUACCUUGCAGUAUUUCUGAGUUCUGUUGAUUGCAAUAUGUGGCAAUAAAGGCUCUGUGUCUGAGAUUCUAAGAGUGUUUUUAACUUCACUUUGAAUAGAAGGAAGCUAAAAACCCAAUCUUGUAGAAACCUUAAGACAAAGGUGACUUAGUGCUAUCCCUCACAUUUAAAACAAAGGAAAAAGGAAAACAGGGAAAAAGAGGAAAAUAGGGGAGCGAAGGGGCUGUUUUUAAGCAGAGUAACAUUCUUCCACAGCAUUCAGAAUGGAAACCCUGAAAUCACUGACAGACACCAAACUCUUUAAAAAGGAAGCCCUAAGGAACAGAAAGCAGCUCCGAUGCUUGCCUAGGGAGAUAUGCAGAAAUAGGACGAUGAAUUACCCCCCCCUCAAAACAAAAUAUCAACUAUUAGCUGUGUCAAAUAUGGAAGUUAUUGUUUUGCUAAUAGAUAAUUACUUUAAAGUGACAUUUUCACUGCUCUGUCUGAAGCUUAAAGGGAAAAUUCUCUUCUGCUGCACUUGCAAAAGAACUGCUGAUUUUCUGCAAGAGGGAAGAGAACAGAUGAUGGGGGGGGGAAUCUAUUCCCUUAUGAAGAAUGUCAUUGGCACAAACAGCUGGCAGUCGGUGGCAUAUUAUUUAUAUGUGCAGUUGCUCGUGUUUUUUAACUGAUAAGAAAGCGAUAGCUCAUUUGCAAUGCAGGUGAGGAACGUGAGUGGCUCCACAGCGCCGCUGGCCCCUGGGCCACCUUCCUUAUCAUAUUGAAAACAUCUGUCAGGGCGCAAAUGAAUUCAUUAUAAAAGCACAUCAAAUGUGCAGUUUCAGGAUGAGACAGCAGUCUGCAAAGAAAGCAGAAGCAUGUGCUCCCCCUGUUAAAGCUCAGAUGGGACCAGGACAGCUCAAGAAAAAAGAAAAAUGUUUGUGCCUUUUCCUCUUGCAGAGAAUGACCUCUCAUGCUGAUGCAGAGGAGGAAACUAGAGCCAGACUGGAUGGGACCGUUACUUCUUUUACCCCAUCCCUGGAGGUGCCCAAGGCCAUUUUGGAUGGAGUCCUGGGCAGUCUGAGCUGGUGGGGGCAGCCAGCUCAUGGCACGGGGCUGGAGCUCCGUAAUCUUUAACGUCCCCUCCAACCUACGCCCUUCAAUAAUUCUAUGAUUCUUCCGUCCAUGCACAGCAGCCAGACACACAGUGCUGCCUCUGUUCCACUCAAGACUGCUCCACUGAACCCACCGGGCUACUGCCGCACUCAUGGACAACAUGCACACCACCUUCAUUUUCUUCCCAAAGAGCACAAAAACCAGAUGUACAACUUAAGAAAAAUAGUGGAAAAUACCUAUUUUAACUUUGCUUCUAAUCACAAAAGAUAUACUCUUAAAUAUGCAUACAUCAGCAGAAACAUUGGGUAAGGGCUCCCACUCUAAAACAAACAGAGAUAUGCACUUUGAGCCCUCAUAUGAAAUGGCAGUAAAAGCCCAACCCAAUUAUUAUUUUCCUUGAUUUUCAGCCAGACAAGGCACAAGACAAAUAAGUCAUCAAGGACAAAUAAAAGGAGGUUCAUUCAUUGCAUUCAGGGCUGGAAUCUUUAAUGGCCACCGAAUGAACUAAGAUAACUAAGUAACCAUUGUAAAUAUUAAUCUUUAAAGGAAAACAAUACUCCCAACAACAGGAAGCCUGAUAAGACAUUGGAUGUUGCCAUCAGUGUUAUGGAGUCUCUCUAAUUUCCUUAGUUUUUUCUUAUGCCUGUAGAGGGAUCAGGAAGGGGAACAUAUGGUAUCUCUCAAAGGAAGUAAAUUAACAUUAUUAAUAGCUAAUGUGGGAGAGGUGAAACAACGAUUGUUCGUGGUCGUUGUUAUUGUGCUUUUGUUUGGUGGUGGUGGGGAGCCUGCCUGCUAGCGAGCUUAAGCACUCAAGCCAAAUUCAAAAGCUUGUAUUUAUAAACAGAGAUCUGAUAAGAGUUGCCUAAGCAUCCAUGAUGCUUUGCCAGCGCACGCACAUCGAGCUGAUCCGAGGGGACUGCGCCUCGAGGCUUGUCUUGGGUUUGUGAGCUCAUGCACAGCAAGGGACUGAGUGCUUAUGGCAUGGUCCUGUUCCACAGUAACUCCUCGUGUGGGCAGACCCUUGUGUUCCUUCACGAUUAUUCAGUUUGAACUUCGGAGGAGGAGAAGGUGCUCUCUGUCAGCUGUGAAGCAGUUAGUGUGGGGCCACCGGAGAGUGGGCUCUCACAGGCCCCAAUCACUGAUAUGGGACUGUGCAGUGGCACAGUGCAUAAAGAGGGGAAUUAUUUUGGGGAAAACAGUGAUGAAGUAUGCAUUUGAACUGGUGACCCAGAAGGGUAUCUCUGAAUCCUGAGCCCCUUGCAAAUUCCCUGCACUAAGAAGAGAAGAAUGUACCUUUCUUAGGCCUUCUGCUUCCAUCUCCCUCACCAAGGUUUACCGGAUGGCAUUUAUUUACUCUAGCACUGGUGCUUCCAGAACACAUCCCAGCUCUAUUUGUUCCAGAACACAUGAAUGCAAAACAGUACAAUCCUUGCUUCCUCAAGAAAUCCUAUACUCCCCACUUUCUUCCCAAAUUAAAGCCGUGGGUAACUCCCAGGUGGCGUGGCACAGAUGGACUUGAUGACACCUUUCAUGCAGAAACAAUCUGCAAAAUAAUUUGGCAUGGAGAACUUGAUUAAAAUUACCCUGUGAGCUUGGUAGGUAGAAGCAAGCUUUGGUGAGAUUGCUCAGUCAACUCCUUAAGAGGAAAACAGUGGAUUUGGGUAUAAUUACUGGAUCUUAAUAAAAACUGAAUAGCCCAAUAAGACCACCUCAUGCUUCAGUGCACACAGCAAUUGCUUUAGGAAGACAAAGAAAUUCCCCUCGCCCUUGAAAGCUUGUACUUCAAUUGCUGGCUGAUGGCUGGAUUUUGAUUUCCAGGUCUGAAAAGGACAGCUUGAAUACUUUAAGCCAGUUAAACUUCAGUUAAACUUCAUUUCCUCACAGAGCAGUGGCACCUGUUUUCUGACCAUACGAUUCCACUUGAAAAUCAGAGUUUACAGAGAAUCUUAAGUUAGCGUCAAAGCUGGUCUGAAAUACCUCUGCCAGGUUGAAGAUGUGAUAUUUUAUUUCUUAGUUAACUCGUCGUGUUGUCCAGAAAGAUCACGAAAACUGAUAGAGCUGUGCAUUGCUUGCUGGCCCUGUAAGGUCAUAUGAUGGGGAUAAAUCAUUGUGUGCUGAAGGGCUGGUUUGUAACAUUGCAAAGUUUUCCCCACUGCCAAUUUUAGGCCCCUUUAGUAUUUCUUCAGUAUUUCAAGUUAUGUAAACUCAUAAUAAAACUUCCUUUGUGGCUCUGCA